AAGGGGGGUGCCUAUACAUGCAAGUCGAACGCGUUGGCCCAAUUGAUUGACGGUGCUUGCACCUGAUUGAUUUUGGUCGCCAACGAGUGGCGGACGGGUGAGUAACACGUAGGUAACCUGCCCAGAAGCGGGGGACAACAUUUGGAAACAGAUGCUAAUACCGCAUAACAGCGUUGUUCGCAUGAACAACGCUUAAAAGAUGGCUUCUCGCUAUCACUUCUGGAUGGACCUGCGGUGCAUUAGCUUGUUGGUGGGGUAACGGCCUACCAAGGCGAUGAUGCAUAGCCGAGUUGAGAGACUGAUCGGCCACAAUGGGACUGAGACACGGCCCAUACUCCUACGGGAGGCAGCAGUAGGGAAUCUUCCACAAUGGGCGCAAGCCUGAUGGAGCAACACCGCGUGAGUGAAGAAGGGUUUCGGCUCGUAAAGCUCUGUUGUUAAAGAAGAACACGUAUGAGAGUAACUGUUCAUACGUUGACGGUAUUUAACCAGAAAGUCACGGCUAACUACGUGCCAGCAGCCGCGGUAAUACGUAGGUGGCAAGCGUUAUCCGGAUUUAUUGGGCGUAAAGAGAGUGCAGGCGGUUUUCUAAGUCUGAUGUGAAAGCCUUCGGCUUAACCGGAGAAGUGCAUCGGAAACUGGAUAACUUGAGUGCAGAAGAGGGUAGUGGAACUCCAUGUGUAGCGGUGGAAUGCGUAGAUAUAUGGAAGAACACCAGUGGCGAAGGCGGCUACCUGGUCUGCAACUGACGCUGAGACUCGAAAGCAUGGGUAGCGAACAGGAUUAGAUACCCUGGUAGUCCAUGCCGUAAACGAUGAGUGCUAGGUGUUGGAGGGUUUCCGCCCUUCAGUGCCGGAGCUAACGCAUUAAGCACUCCGCCUGGGGAGUACGACCGCAAGGUUGAAACUCAAAGGAAUUGACGGGGGCCCGCACAAGCGGUGGAGCAUGUGGUUUAAUUCGAAGCUACGCGAAGAACCUUACCAGGUCUUGACAUCUUGCGCCAACCCUAGAGAUAGGGCGUUUCCUUCGGGAACGCAAUGACAGUGGUGGUGCAUGGUCGUCGUCAGCUCGUGUCGUGAGAUGUUGGGUUAAGUCCCGCAACGAGCGCAACCCUUGUUACUAGUUGCCAGCAUUAAGUUGGGCACUCUAGUGAGACUGCCGGUGACAAACCGGAGGAAGGUGGGGACGACGUCAGAUCAUCAUGCCCCUUAUGACCUGGGCUACACACGUGCUACAAUGGACGGUACAACGAGUCGCGAACUCGCGAGGGCAAGCAAAUCUCUUAAAACCGUUCUCAGUUCGGACUGCAGGCUGCAACUCGCCUGCACGAAGUCGGAAUCGCUAGUAAUCGCGGAUCAGCAUGCCGCGGUGAAUACGUUCCCGGGCCUUGUACACACCGCCCGUCACACCAUGAGAGUUUGUAACACCCAAAGUCGGUGGGGUAACCUUUUAGGAGCCAGCCCGCGCC
rnacentral:rRNA from 1 species